UGGCGCCCAAUGUGGAGCUCCUGGCAUGGAGGAGUCAACGAGGGAGCCAUUCGAGACAGCCUGCUUAAAGUGAAAGCGAAUUGAACCAGAGACCACGGUGAGAAGUGAGCAAACUAAAUCAAGGAUCAAAGCUAAAAGCAACAGGACAUUAAAUCAAGUACCGAGGCCUGCGCAGAUGACUACCUGACGUGCCUGCCCGAGUCAUGGUGAGUGAAUGGCGACCCCAUUCCCUUUCCCGGACAUGGGUCAAGCAUUGAGCAAACACAAAUUGUUUGUGGGAGGCCUUAUAAAAGCAUGGAAGACAAGAGGGGUAAAGGUUAAAACUAAAGAAUUAUUGCAGUAUUUUCAAUUUAUCCAUAAGGUUUGCCCUU
rfam:Cavia porcellus supercont2_12 genomic scaffold, whole genome shotgun sequence.